rnacentral:rRNA from 1 species
GUCCCUACGGGGGGCAGCAGUGGGGAAUAUUGCACAAUGGGGGAAACCCUGAUGCAGCAACGCCGCGUGAAGGAAGAAGUAUUUCGGUAUGUAAACUUCUAUCAGCAGGGAAGAAAAUGACGGUACCUGACUAAGAAGCCCCGGCUAACUACGUGCCAGCAGCCGCGGUAAUACGUAGGGGGCAAGCGUUAUCCGGAUUUACUGGGUGUAAAGGGAGCGUAGGCGGUUCAGCAAGUCAGAAGUGAAAGCCCGGGGCUCAACUCCGGGACUGCUUUUGAAAAUGUUGAACUAGAUUGCAGGAGAGG